GUUGCUUCUUUACCAGUUUGAUCACAAGUUUAUGUCUUUAAAGUUUAUAAAAUAGAUAUACCCAUAGUAACUAUACUGGAUGAUAACUUCUACUAGUGGAAAGCUAUUCAUUGCAUUAUAGAAAUGAAGUGGACCUUACACUGGCCCUUAUUCAUUCCAUUUAAAUACCUUUGUGCCUCUGGAGCUGAGCACAAACUGUAAUAGUUGUCUUUGAGUCCAAAUGUUUGUGAAAGCUGAGAAACCCUCUUAAUUUUAGUAUACUGAAUGUAUAUGAGAUUUUUUUUUUUUUUUUUUUUUUUUGAGACGGAGUCUCGCUCUGUCACCCAGGCUGGAGUGCAGUGGUGCGAUCUCGGCUCACUGCAAGCUCCACCUCCCAGGUUCACGCCAUUCUCCUGCCUCAGGCUCCUGAGUAGCUGGGACUACAGGUGCCCGCCACCAGGCCCGGCUAAUUUUUUGUUUGUUUUUUUAGUAGAGACGGGGUUUCACUAUGUUAGCCAGGAUGGUCUCGAUCUCCUGAUCUCGUGAUCUGCCCGCCUCGGCCUCCCAAAGUGCUGGGAUUACAGGUGUGAGCCACCGCACCUGGCCCCGAGAUUUUUAAAUAAGUUUUGAACAUGAAUAAAAAUAUGGUGCUCACAUUUAUUACUUUAAAGAAAGAGACUCGUCUAUCAAAAAUUUGAUACAAGUUUUUCACUUAUUUUCAAACAUCUACUAGAAUAAUUUUCAUUCUUCCAGGUGUUCAAAGUGCCCAAGCAGGAUGUAGGUUAGUUCUACCCUUAAACUUAAGGUGUAGAUUAUAAGCACGUUUUCCAUUUGCAACACAACAGUAGGCAUUCUUGUUAAAUUAGUUUGAGAAAUUUGUUUUAUUUUGUACAAGGUACAAUCCCUCUGCACAGUGAACAUAUAUUACAAAUCUGUGAUUUAAAAAAGUAUUGCCGUUUCAUAGUCUCAUUAAUACCUCUGUACAAUAAUGGUUUUUCUUUCAUUCAUUUUAAUUGUACACAUAUUAAUUUUUUGAAAAUUUAGUUUCUGAAAAAUAAUUGAACAGAUCUUUCAAAGUCACCCAUAAAAUGCACAGUAUACAUGUUUAGGCUGACCAUGAACCUAUUUGUGAUGGUGUUAGACAGAACUGUCUUCCCACUCUCUGCUUCUCCCCUUUUUAUGCAUAGGAAAAAAGGGAGCCCAGAGAGGGCGACUAACUUGACCAGAGUAACACUGAAAUCUCUUGAUUCAGUGUCUAGCCAUUCCACCUCUUGCUGAAUACCUUUGCCCAGAGGAUAGUUGACAAAAGCGGCGAAACUUCAAACUUGAGUGAUGCUGCUUGUUUGCAGUUUGCCAGGCAGCAGUUAUUGUACAUGCAGGAUAAGGGAAGAAGAGAAAACCUGGGAUUGAGUUGAAGUUUCUCCUUGCUGAUCUGACAUCUUCAUGCUGCUCAUCCUUGCUUCACAAACACUUGCUGCCCUGAAAUACUGAGGUAAGCUGCUUACCUAUAUUUCUUUCUACAUAUGUAUGAGAAAUAUUUACUUGGGUCUCCAAAGUAAUUUUCUAAUAUUUAUAUUUUAAUAAGGCUUUUUUGGAAAGUAAAUUUACUAUUGCUACUCAGUUGCUCCCAUGCACACAUGCAACAUUCAUGUAAGUAUUACAUAUUUUCCUCUAACAGUAAAAUCUGCUUAUGCCUUGAGUGAUGUGGGAAGGGGAGAUGUACUCAUUUAUUUAUUUUUUUGCUUUUUCUGAUUAUUGCCCAAAGUAUUGUGUUCCAUGGCAGGCUUCCAGUUUCUAUCAAGGGUUUCAGAACUCUCAUACUUCCUGUAGCAGUAUUCCAGCUUCGCAGUCAUUUAGUUCCUCUUCUGUGUAUCUUUUUGGAAGUGUUUUUUACUGGCUGGACUGUACCAGUGAAUAGAGUGGUACAGGAGUAGCCGUUAGCUUCCUAGGUUUGCCCUUUUUGUUUUUAAUUCUUGUGAGAAGGUUCUCUUUAGGGCUUGGGAGUUGAUUUCAUUUCAUUUGGACUUAUCUGAGCCUCAGUUUAUCUGUGUUCAUAGUGGAAGGUAUAGACACAUCUGAAUACUGGGAUCUGGAGCAUUAGCUCAUUGUAAUGCAUAUUGGGCUAGCUCAGUAAGUAGUAGUUUUAAGAUAGAAGGUGGAAGGACUUCAUAUCCUCAUGCUGUUUACAGUAACGUUUUUACAUCACGUUACAGCAACUGGUUACAGUCCAUUCUUUUUUUGAUCAUUUAGUUCCAUUAAAAAGCAUAAUGUACUUUAAGCAGUGUAAACUUGCUGUAUCCACAUUUGUCCAAUUUCCUGUAUACUUUUAGGUUUCAUACUACGUCAAUCUCAAGAUUUAUGAAGAACUUGAAAGCAAGUACUCUUGAGUCAAGGGAUGCUGACCAAAUAAAAUGAGGAGGCCAACUAGCCGUCUUUUACUUAAUCCCGACCAGUCUAUGACUGCUUGCUUAAAGGAUCAUCUUAGAGCUCUGUUUUACAUGGAAUGAUUCAGG
rnacentral:lncRNA from 10 species